AUUGAACGCUGGCGGCAGGCCUAACACAUGCAAGUCGAACGAGUGGCGGACGGGUGAGUAAUGUCUGGGAAACUGCCUGAUGGAGGGGGAUAACUACUGGAAACGGUAGCUAAUACCGCAUACCAUCGGAUGUGCCCAGAUGGGAUUAGCUAGUAGGUGGGGUAACGGCUCACCUAGGCAACGAUCCCUAGCUGGUCUGAGAGGAUGACCGGCCACACUGGAACUGAGACACGGGCCAGACUCCUACGGGAGGCAGCAGUAGGGAAUAUUGCACAAUGGGCGAAAGCCUGAUGCAGCCAUGCCGCGUGUAUGAAGAAGGCCUUCGGGUUGUAAAGUACUGUCAGCGGGGAGGCGGUACCCACAGAAGAAGCACCGGCUAACUCCGAGCCAGCAGCCGCGGUAAUUA
rnacentral:rRNA from 1 species